CAACUACUCCCUCUGUCCCAAAUUUCUUGUCUUAGAUUUGUCUAGAUACUGAUGUAUCUAAUACUAAAAUGUGACUUGAUACAUCCGUAUCUAGACAAAUCUAAGACAAGAAUUUUGGGACGGAGGGAGUACUUU
rnacentral:pre_miRNA from 1 species